rnacentral:lncRNA from 1 species
GUUAGUAAACUUAGAAGCAGAAAGACUUCAGAUACUGAGGAAAACACUCAUAUAACCUAUAGCAUUCUUGAGAGAUCUUCAGUUUUCUUUUUAUUUGCCAGAUAAUUAACAUUUGGCUUAAUCUGAUUUGAUGGUUAUUUAGAUUUCUCCCUUGAGCAAAAUAACAUAAUUUUCAGGUCUAAGAUUCAUCUGUUUCUUGUUGAAAACAGAUGUGACAUGUUAAGGGAGACUAAGUUGAACCAAUCCUCAGAACCCAGUACAAAUAUAUCUAAUAAGUGCCCCCUUUUAAAUACAUUUUAAUUGGGAAGAGGAGACUGAUGGCCAUAAGGAGAAAGUAGAGGCUCCUGGUAGUGUUACCGGAGAGGAACUGCCAUCAGGUGGCCUUAGUUCAGUCAUAAGUGUUACUCUUGAAUUGCUGUUUGUAGGGGGAAUGUCAUUUAACCUUCGUGCCUCACAUUACCCAUUAGAAAAUUGGGUAUGAUAAUAUUCACCUACCUCCCAGGGAUAUCAGAGACUUUCAAAAAUAUUUUGUUUUUCUAAAAUGUCCUAUAUAAUUAAAAAAAGUAUUAUCAUCUUCCUGCAGAGGCUAAAAAAUGUUUCCCUAUGAUGGAUAUAAAAAGCACCAUAUGAUUUUUUAAGUUUAAAAAAAUCACUGGAAUUCUAAUUUAGAUGCAUAUUUGUUAUUUAAACAUAUUAUAUUUGUGGUGGGAUAAAAUGGUUAGUUUCAGGUUAAUAAGUGGGGGGGAAUAACACUAAGUUUCUUAAUUCUAAGUAGAUUUUUUUUAGACUUUUAUGGUGUUAUUACAUGUGUGAUUUUUGCCAGGAUUGUGGAGCUAAAGCUAGGUAAAGUGUGGGUGAUUGGUUAUUGGAGUUGAUAAAUGAUCCCAAAAGUUUUAUCUGCCUCACUUUUCCAUCUUCUCAAUUUAAUUUCCUUGUAUUACUUGUUCGGUGGUGGAUAGCUAAGCUUUUAACUUUCUGAGAAUGAGUGGGGUCGCCUCAUUCUUGUAAAUGAGAGAUUGUGUACUAUUCCUGUAACUUUCCGUUUAUCCAGCUUUGCACUGAAGGGAGCAAGCACUACACACAGUCAGAUGGGUACACUUUUUAGCCAGUCUACCUUUGUAAUUUAUGCUUCUUCAACCCAUGAAAGAGUUGGAGCCAUCAACUGCUCAGGUUGUAGGAAAAUGAGAGAGGGGAAGCAAGAUUCACUUUCUAGCUAGGGCAGGGGUAGAAGGAAACAUAUUUUGCCCAGCUCUGAGGAGGAAAUCAAGAUCAUUUUAUCCCACCUUCCAUCUCGACACAUUAAGUAGUAAUACAUAGAAGUUUCCUUACGUCAUUUAAAACAACAACAGGAAAAAGUGGAUACUGCAUUUUUAGUUAGGGCUAAAAGCUGAGCAACAAUUGCUGGGGGUGUGUGUAGAUUUAAAUUGUAGCACCUUAUUCAGGGUCAGGAAAGAGAAUGUAGGGGGAUGAGGAACAAAUUAUCCAUCGUAAGUGAGUCAGGAGAAAACACCAGGCCCAAGCAGACAGAGCAUCUAGGUUAAUUCCCAGAAUUGGCCAAGGCCCAUUUAAUCUCUAGUGAUAGGAUGUUUUUUCCUUAAAAAUCACUUUUUGGCAUUUUGUUGCUUUUUCCAGAUAAGGCCUUAGUUAGUAGCCUCUAAAUAUCAACUAUGCAGAUAAACAAACUUUAUUUUCUACAUUUUCUCUCAUUUUCCAUUCUUCAAAUAACAGAUGUUAAGACUUCUACCCAAAGAAAUAAAGCAUAAGGGUUUUGUUGAAUGUGUGUUCCUCAAGGGAAAAUUAACAGAAGCGUAAAAUAGAUAUUUUGUGUGUUCAUCUAUCCUAAAAUGUGAACUUUAUAUUGAAAAACUUAAAUACAGAUCCUUUCUCUGGUACAGAACUGUAGUUGGAACCAUGGCAUGUCUUUGGGUUGUUAUGAUAAAAUCAUCCCAGAGUUCAAUUCUGAGAAAGUUUUAGAUUCUGUGGCACAGUAUUCAGGUUUGUAGAGCUGAACAGAUGGUCAGACUCUAAUUAAAAAUAGCUUUGAAUAUUAAUGUUGAUUCUUCUUUCUUCAUUUCCUUUAGUCUUCAUUCUUCUUUCCUCUAGUGUGAGCUCUUAAGUUAACUGUUCGUCAACCAGUUGCUACAGUGGAAUAUGAAGUGCAUGUUAAGGGUCCGCAGAGGCAAGGUCACCCUGCCUUUCACCUGUUCUCUCUCACUUGGACCCUCUAUCCUGUGUCCCCAUUGAAUUCAAGGACAGACUGCAGGCGUUUUCCAGGAGACUGUUUACAUCCCCGCAUAGACACGGACAGGGACUCAUAGGAUUUCAGUCAGACUGCCUUUGAAUAAGCGGGUGAUGAAAUACAAGCUACCAGGAAACGGCUGAGAGGUUGAAUUCUUCUUCCCACUGCCAUCUUGCCUUUGCAUUCUCAGUGGUAACGCUUUCCCAACUUUGGGUGGUUUGGUGGUCUUUAGUUGUCAGAGAGCUCUUGUCACUAUUUUCUAUGAAGAAAGAAGGACAGGUAAAUUUUUUAACCAAAAAAUAUCACACAUUUCAUAAAACCCUGAUAAAUUUUGGUUAUGCUAGAGGUCUUAAACAUUCCUAAAUAGGGAUCUGUGAAUUUGGUAAAUUAAACCCAUGGAUAUACUCCUUCAGUGCAGGGAUUUUUUUUUUUCGCUUUUUUUUUCUUUUUUUUUUUUUGCAACAGCCUUGCUCAUAUUCCAGGUGUAGCUAGCAAACCCCUGUUUUAAAGCAGGAGCCUUAUUUGAUUCAGUGUAGAUGUUUCCUGUCUAUCCUUUGUGACAGGGCUUUUUACAUGAGUGUUUUUUCUUUUUGUAUGUGUUAUGUGUUUGUUGUAUUAAAUAAAGAG